rnacentral:snoRNA from 1 species
CCCCUUGACGAGAACGAGCUCAUCUCCUACAUCCUCGCUGGCCUGGACAUGGAGUACCAGCCCCUCGUCUCCGCCCUCGACGCCCGCACCUCACCUGUCACCCUUGACGAACUAUUUGCUCAGAUGAGUAACUUCGAUC